GUAGGUGAACCUGCGGAAGGAUCAUUUAUAAUUCUAAUAAAUGUUCUUCUAGAAUUUUAAGUUCAUAAAAAAGAAGUUUUCUUCUUUUUUAUAUGUUUGCCUAUUUCUAGGUUUUAAUUCGUUAAAUAAUUACCUAAAUAUCUUAAAUUUUCAACGAUGGAUAUCUAGGCUCCUAUAACGAUGAAGAACGCAGCGAAAUGCGAUACGCAAUGCGAAUUGCAGAACCGCGAGUCAUCAGAUUUUUGAACGCAAGUGGCGGUGGUUUCGGCCAUCAUGUUUGUUUCAGUGUGUUCGGUUAAUUACAUCAUAGAAUUAUAUGUGACUGAAGAAAUUCUUUCACUUUAAUAUGAAGUAAUGUCAACUAAAACAUUAAAUGAACAGGCAACAAUAUGUUGAUAACAUUUAAGUGUUUCCUAGUUGUAAAAAACCAUUACUUAUCGUAAUAAUCUAUCCAAUAAUAACACCUGAAAUAAGCAAGAAUACCCGCUGAACUUAAGCAUAUCAG
rnacentral:rRNA from 1 species